rnacentral:rRNA from 1 species
UACGUAGGGGGCAAGCGUUGUCCGGAUUUAUUGGGCGUAAAGAGCGUGUAGGCGGCCAGGUAGGUCCGUUGUGAAAACUCGAGGCUCAACCUCGAGACGCCGAUGGAAACCAUCUGGCUAGAGUCCGGAAGAGGAGAGUGGAAUUCCCGGUGUAGCGGUGAAAUGCGUAGAUAUCAGGAGGAAUACCGAUGGCGAAGGCAGGUCUCUGGGCUGACACUGACGCUCAUGCACGAAAGCGUGGGGAGCGAACAGG